rnacentral:rRNA from 1 species
GAUGAACGCUGGCGGCGUGCCUAAUACAUGCAAGUCGAGCGAACGGACGAGAAGCUUGCUUCUCUGAUGUUAGCGGCGGACGGGUGAGUAACACGUGGAUAACCUACCUAUAAGACUGGGAUAACUUCGGGAAACCGGAGCUAAUACCGGAUGAUAUUUUGAACCGCAUGGUUCAAAAGUGAAAGACGGUCUUGCUGUCACUUAUAGAUGGAUCCGCGCUGCAUUAGCUAGUUGGUAAGGUAAUGGCUUACCAAGGCAACGAUGCAUAGCCGACCUGAGAGGGUGAUCGGCCACACUGGAACUGAGACACGGUCCAGACUCCUACGGGAGGCAGCAGUAGGGAAUCUUCCACAAAGGGCGAAAGCCUGACGGAGCAACGCCGCGUGAGUGAUGAAGGUCUUCGGAUCGUAAAACUCUGUUAUUAGGGAAGAACAUAUGUGUAAGUAACUGUGCACAUCUUGACGGUACCUAAUCAGAAAGCCACGGCUAACUACGUG